CAAAAACGUCAAUUCCAUACUUACAUAAUACAUAAUUUUUAAAAAUAUAAAAAAAAUAUAUGCAUUUAUAUAUUACGCUUUAUACAUUAUUUUGAAUUAAUUAAAAAAAAAAAAAAAAAAAAAAAAAACUUUAUAGCAUAUAUAUUCACUUUUAUUAUAUAUAGCUAUAGAGUUUUUUUAAUUAAAAGUUAGAUAAUUAAAAUUUGUUUUUUAUUACAUAUAUAUAUAUAUAUAUUCAUAAACAUAUAUAAUCUUAUUCAUACAUUAAAUAUAAUUGAUUUUAUUAUUAUUUAUUUAUUUUUUUUUUUUUUUAUUAAUAUAUAUAAUAUAUAAACAUAUCAUAUUCUCAUAACUUUUUUAUAAAAAGUAAAAAAGAAAAAAAAAGUAACGGUAAAACUUAAAGAAGAUAAAAAAAAAAAAAAAAAAAAAAAAAAAAAGGGAGUAGAUAAAUAUCAUUUUAUAUGAAAGAGGUAAUGUAUAUGAAUAAUUUAAUUAUAUGUUAGAAUAUUAUGCACAUGUUUAAAGAAAGGAUAUAAUACUGUAAAAAAUGGAUAGAAUUUAAGGAUAUCCGUAACUUUUCAUAUAUUUAGACACAUGAAUAAGCACAUAUAUAUAUAUUGAAUACAUAUGCACACGUGCGGAUGUACGAAUAUGCAAGUGUGCAAAUAUACAGGCAAUAAAAUAUACUUAUAAAAAGCAGCACAAUAUAAACAUUUUAUAAAUAAUUAUAUAUUUCUAUAUAUAUAUAUAUAUAUAUAUAAAUGACAACCAUGCAUGUUUUAACAGAAAACACAACUGAAAAAACAAAGCAUAGGAAUUACUCAAGAAUUAGCAAGGUAUUAUUUAAAAGAGAUAGAAAAAAAUUUAAAGUCAUAGCGAAUAGAAUUACUCCAUACUGCACAGAAAUAUCAAGAUACAAAAAGGAAAUAAUAAGAGCACGAAAAUUUUUAAAAGAUUAUAGAAAAAAUUACAAAUUUUUAUAUUCAAAGAAAAAUAUAAUUAAUUCAGAAGGUGAAAAGAAAGUAAAAAGAAAAAAUUCAUUAGAAAAAAAAAAAAGCACAAAUUUAAACCUUUUAGAAAGAACUUCAAAAAGUAAAAAGAAAAAGAACCAAGUUAUAACAGCACAUCGAAUUAAUUAUAAUAUUGUUUUUAAAAAAACAUAUAUAACAAAUAUAAAACCUCAUACAAAUCUGUUAUUAAAUUUAAAAGGUAAAAAAAAGAAAAUACAAAAUAAAAAGUUGAAAGAAACUGUAGUAGACUUAAAAACAACUAUUAAUACUGCAAACAUUACUAAUACUGCAAACAUUAAUAAUACUGCAAACAUUAAUAAUACUGCAAACAUUAAUAAUACUGCAAACAUUACUAAUACUACUAACACUACGAACACUAAUAAUACCACUGCAUUAGAAAAUUUUAAAGGCAGCUUAAGUGAACGAAAAAAAAGAAAAAGUGAUGAUUUAUACAAAUUAAAUAGUACUAUUAGUUCUUCCAAUUUUAGGCAAAAGAAAAAUUAUGAUUUAAGUAAUGAUAAUGAUAUUAUAAAAUAUGAUAAAGAAUUUGAUAAUAAAAAAUUUAGUAUAAAUUCUUCUAAUAAGUUUUGUAACAAUAAUAAUAAUAAUGAUAUCUUAUCGUCACAGGCAUUAAUUGGUAGUAGUAACAAUAAUGAUUUUUUCUAUAAUUUAUCUGUAUAUGAUCCAAUAACAAAAGAAGGAUCAAGUUUUGUGAAUAAUUGCUGCGAACAUAAAUUAACAAAUAGCUUAGUAGAUUCUCUUGUUAGUUUAUCAAAUAAAUUAAAUAAGCAUAAUGGAAAAACAAAACUCAUUCCUGAAUAUAAUAAAAAUGCACCUCAUAAUGUAAAUAAAACAGUUUAUAUUAAUCAUUUUAAUAAUGAUAUUAGUUUUAAAGUAGAUCAUAAUGAAAUUAAAAAAAAUGAUGCACAAUGUAAAAUAGGAUUAUGUAAUAAUAUAGAUAACAAUUUAUAUUUUCGAAAUACAUUUAAUAAUAGAAAGAAGAGUUAUAAAAAUAGUAACAAUUCUUAUAAUAUAAAUAAUUAUUAUAGUGAUUACGGUAUCCAAUAUAACAAUAAAGUUAUAUAUAGUAAUUAUAUUAAAAAUCGAUAUAAAUAUUUAUGUAAUAGGAGGGGUAAAAACAUAAGGAAUAAUAACAAUAGUUACGAUAUUAAUAAUGAUAGCAGUAGUAGCAACGACAACAGUAGUAUUAGUAGUAAUACUAAUAUUAGCGAUAGUAAUGGUAGUCAUAAAAAUAUCAAUAACAAUAGUAAUUAUUUAGGCAUAGAUACGGGGACAUGUUAUUAUUCGGAUAAUUUUUUUUCAAAAAAAAUUAUAAAAAAAAAAAAAAAUGCUCACCUACUUGAUGUUCCCCACUUGAAACACAUCAAUUUGAACAACCAACAUAAAAUAAUAUCAUUCAUUAGAAAAACAAAUAAUGAAAGUGUCCAAUCGAAAAAUGAUUUGAUUAAUAAUAAUAGUAACUUGAAUGAUAGUGGUAGUUAUAAUAGUAGUUGUAGCAAUAGUAACCGUGGCUGUAGCAAGUGUGAUUAUAGCAACAGCAACAAUAGAAACCAUAAUGAUGACGUUAGUUGUAACAGAUUAAUAAAUAAGCACAACAAAAUAAACAGUAGUGAUAAAGAUAAUAUUAAUAACUUAUAUAGAGCAUAUGUUUUUAAUAAAUACAAUAAUACAUUUGAUAGUACAAAUACAUUACAUAAUGUCAAAAAUUAUCCAACUGCUUUUAUAGGUUCUAAAAGACAUCGUUUAAGUAAAAAAGGUCUUCAUUUUAACGAUAAGUUAAAAAAUGAUAUUAUUUUAAAAAAAAAUAGUAGUGCGGAAAAUUCUAUUCAAAAAUAGUAUAAGAAAAAAUCAUCAUAAUUUCGUAUAUAACAACAAAAGUAUACAUUACAGUUUUAACGACCGACGUAAUAACGCAAACCAACAAAAAUAUACCAAAGACGAAGAACCCAAACAAAUUUACAUAUCAAAAAGCAAUUUAAGUGAAUUGAAAAGUUUAAGAUCAAGUAUAAACACAUUUUCUAGUUUCGAGUUAAAUCAAACGCCCUUAUUAUCAAAUAUUGAAAAUAGGACGUAUAAUUACCAAAGGAGCUUUAGUAAUUUUGUGUCAAAGGACAUAAAUUCGUUUAAAGUUUUCACAAACAACCAUAAAGAAAUAAGCCCGUUAUUAUCUUAUAGUCAUAAUAAUAGCAAUAGCAACAGUAACAAUAGUGACAACUCAUCUUUAGUGCUAAACAGCAACCACAACCACAACCACAACCACAACCACAACUUACAUGGUAAAAAUUUAAAUUUGAUAAGGCUAAACAAUAAAAGUAACAUAUCUUUAUUAAAAAAAAAGUUC
ensembl:lncRNA